UACGAAGGGGCUAGCGUUGUUCGGAAUUACUGGGCGUAAAGCGCGCGCAGGCGGUCUUCCAAGUCAGUGGUGAAAGCCUGGAGCUCAACUCCAGAACUGCCAUUGAAACUGUUAGACUUGAGUACGAGAGAGGUGAGUGGAAUUCCCAGUGUAGAGGUGAAAUUCGUAGAUAUUGGGAAGAACACCGGUGGCGAAGGCGGCUCACUGGCUCGUAACUGACGCUCAGGCGCGACAGCGUGGGGAUCAAACAGG
rnacentral:rRNA from 1 species